UACGUAGGGUGCAAGCGUUAAUCGGAAUUACUGGGCGUAAAGCGUGCGUAGGCGGUUUGUUAAGUCCGUUGUGAAAGCCCUGGGCUCAACCUGGGAAUUGCAGUGGAUACUGGCGAGCUAGAGUGCGGUAGAGGAUGGUGGAAUUCCCGGUGUAGCGGUGAGAUGCGUAGAGAUCGGGAGGAACACCCGUGGCGAAAGCGGCUCUCUGGAACGGUACUGACGCUGAGACACGAAAGCGUGGGUAGCAAAACAGG
rnacentral:rRNA from 1 species